AAACCAACUCUGAUUUUUAAAUUGUAUUUGUUGUGGUUGUACCUAAUGGGCCGGGCUCAUGAGGACCAGUGGCAAUUUUGAAAUAUAACACAAAUACAGCACCAUUUUUGUCACAAAAAAAUUCAUCGUUUUUCUACCUCAAACUAUUGGCAUCGCUCAGUGUCUCCGUCGUCUUCUGAUUUUCCUCCGAAUCGGAGAAGAAAGGCAACCAAAUCAUGGUCCUCCGAAUUCGUGUUUUCUGAUUCUUCCCGGCGCUCCUUACGCGUUCUGCAGCCUGAGCGCGCUGCGCUCUCGGUUGAUUCCGUGGUCUGAUUUUCCGCGAAUCGCAAUCCGACGGUGGCGAUGGCAUCGCCGCUGAACCAAUCGGCGAAUGUGGAUCUCGAAGGAUCUCUUCGAUGCGUAUUUACGACGGGCCAAUUUUGACGGCGAUGGCCGGAUUAGUGGCAAUGAAGCCGUCGCUUUCUUCCAGGGCUCUGGUCACCCAAACAGGUCCUUGCGCAGGCUUAAUCAAGCAUAUUUUUCUGCGAGAUGCUUUGCUGCUGGAUGUUCAGUCGUUGCAUGAUGUAUUCGUAUUUUGAUGUAAAAACUUACAUAUGCCAUAGAUAUUUUGUAGAUAUAAAUUUUAAUUUGUGAUUGGGAGUAAUCUUUUGCUGGCCAAUUGACACACGAACAUCCAUAAAUAUAUACUAUUAAAUUGAGUCAUGUCUAAAUGUGCAGUCUAGAUUGAUAUGACUACCCAUCAUGCAGUUCGGUUUUUUACCCUCUCUAAUAAAAUUUGUUUCGCUGAUCUUUGUUUGGUGCAAACAAGGACACUAAGUUUUGCCGGUGUUAGUCCAAUCGGGCCAUUCAUAUUUUUUGCUCAUUGCAGUUCGGCCAUUGAAUAAUCACAUAUUUUUGUCAUGUUGAAUGUUCAAACUAUGGCGCUUGGUUGUGAGAUUUUUACUUUGCCCUGGCAUGGUGUGUUAAUUAAUGUCUAUGUUUAUGAUAUAAAGGUAAAUCAAGUUUUAAAGAUAACAAAUAGGCUAUAAUACACUUGGCCAUAACUAGCGCUUUAUAAUGUAUAAA